rnacentral:ncRNA from 2 species
AAGAAAAAAGGCGAUGGAGCUCGCCGUUAACCGCUCCUGCUUUGCAUUAUGCGGGGGCUGAUAGCUCCUACUUUUCG